rnacentral:rRNA from 1 species
GAUGAACGCUGGCGGCGUGCCUAAUACAUGCAAGUCGAGCGAACAGACGAGGAGCUUGCUCCUCUGACGUUAGCGGCGGACGGGUGAGUAACACGUGGAUAACCUACCUAUAAGACUGGGAUAACUUCGGGAAACCGGAGCUAAUACCGGAUAAUAUAUUGAACCGCAUGGUUCAAUAGUGAAAGACGGUUUUGCUGUCACUUAUAGAUGGAUCCGCGCCGCAUUAGCUAGUUGGUAAGGUAACGGCUUACCAAGGCAACGAUGCGUAGCCGACCUGAGAGGGUGAUCGGCCACACUGGAACUGAGACACGGUCCAGACUCCUACGGGAGGCAGCAGUAGGGAAUCUUCCGCAAGGGGCGAAAGCCUGACGGAGCAACGCCGCGGGAGGGAUGAAGGUCUUCGGAUCGUAAAACUCUGUUAUUAGGGAAGGACAAAUGUGUAAGUAACUAUGCACGUCUUGACGGUACCUAAUCAGAAAGCCACGGCUAACUACGUG